rnacentral:rRNA from 1 species
AGAGUUUGAUCAUGGCUCAGAUUGAACGCUGGCGGCAUGCUUUACACAUGCAAGUCGAACGGGCUUGGGGGCAACUCCAAGUCAGUGGCGAACGGGUGAGUAAUGCAUCGGAACGUGUCCAGAAGUGGGGGAUAACCCGGCGAAAGCCGGGCUAAUACCGCAUAUUCUCCACGGAGGAAAGCGGGGGAUCGCAAGACCUCGUGCUUUUGGAGCGGCCGAUGUCCGAUUAGUUUGUUGGUGGGGUAACGGCCUACCAAGGCGACGAUCGGUAGCUGGUCUGAGAGGAUGAUCAGCCACACUGGGACUGAGACACGGCCCAGACUCCUACGGGAGGCAGCAGUGGGGAAUUUUGGACAAUGGGGGAAACCCUGAUCCAGCCAUGCCGCGUGCGGGAAGAAGGCCUUCGGGUUGUAAACCGCUUUUAGCUGGGAAGAAAAGAUCACGGAUAACACCCGUGGUUCUUGACGGUACCGGCGGAAUAAGCACCGGCUAACUACGUGCCAGCAGCCGCGGUAAUACGUAGGGUGCGAGCGUUAAUCGGAAUUACUGGGCGUAAAGCGUGCGCAGGCGGUUCGUUGUGUCCGUCGUGAAAGCCCCGGGCUUAACCUGGGAACUGCGAUGGAAACUAGCGAGCUGGAGUGUGGCAGAGGGGGGUGGAAUUCCGCGUGUAGCAGUGAAAUGCGUAGAGAUGCGGAGGAACACCGAUGGCGAAGGCAGCCCCCUGGGCUAACACUGACGCUCAGGCACGAAAGCGUGGGGAGCAAACAGGAUUAGAUACCCUAGUAGUCC